GCAAGUCAGCAUCCUUGCUAAGCCGUCGAUCAACUCACUAUAACGUAUCUCAUUUGCAUUAAAACUUACUUUAAUCCGAGUUUUAACGUGAUUACCCCCACCUCCUACUCUCAAAACAUUCAAUUGGACUCAUCGUCUCCCAAUUAAACCGACGGGGGCUCCGACUAUAAAUCUCCUAGCGAUGACAGCACAACUUCACCAAAUCGAGAAGAACGAGGACCAGUCUCCAAGGAAGAUGACAGGCUUAAGAGUAUGUGAUCAGUGAUGCUACUGCGAUUGUCCAGACAAGUUUAUAGCAUCGUAUAAUAUCGUGGACGGUACUGUAUACCAGGCUCCACAGCGUUGUAGUGUCUUUGCAGCUCGAGUUGUUGGCUGUUUAUAAUAUUUAGAAGGCUUUCUCUGCAGGUGCAUUAAAGUAGGAGACCAUUAGGCAGGUUGAUGCCAAAAACCAGAAUGAGCCUUCUGAGACAAAGCCCCCAAUAAUACACAAUCUUUCACACCACUUCUCUUUCGAUUCAUCAAAAGAUGUCUUCAUAGAAAACAUGAAGCAACACACCUUAUAUAAGAAAAAAACGGAAUUGAACAGUAUAUAUGUCGAAGAAGUCAAGACUUCUUUGAGCAACGCGUUUCUUCAGGCCGAUCUUGCUUUAGCAAAGGACUGCAACAAAGGCUCUUUUCUCAGGUUUUUCUUCUGGUACCUGGUACCUCGGCUCUUGCUGCCCUUAUUUUUGGAAGACACUUAAUGGUUGCAAAUGCAGGAGAUGGCAGAGCUGUUCUCCGUAGGAAUGGUGAAGCCAUAGACAUGUCUCAAGACCACAAACCCAUCUACUUACCGUAAAGAAGAAAGUCGAAGGAAGUGGCGGCUUUGACGAUGCCAGUUACUUAAAUGGCAUAGCGAUUAGGACAUGAAACUAUCACGAGGGUCAUGAUAUCCACUCAUAGAAGAGCCAGGAGAUCAAAAAGAUACAUGUAAUAGAGGAAGACAAGUUUCUGAUAAUGGGAUGCGAUAAUUCAAAAGGUUUUUGUAUCGUUAGGUGUGAAUUACGUCGUCACCAUGACCCGAUAAAGCUUGCUUUGAGGUCUUUAAGGCUAGAUAAGUUUGCUAACCUAACAGUGGUUGUUUAAUUCUUGUCGGCUGAUGACAUGGCGAUGGUCGCUCCUCUGGUGGAGGAUCAAGUUUGACGGCAUAAGCUUCUCAGAGAUUGAGGGCCUUAUUUGACGGUUGAAUGAAAAGAUAGUAACAUUCCCUUUUGUGUUCUUGGCUGAGCUUUUUCUUUUUGUUGUAUAUUUGGUGUCUGUAUGUAACUUCCAGUGUCUACAUGCCCCAGUUUUGUGUAAGCGGUUAUGUGUUCAUGAAUGGAUUGAAAGUUUUUAUAUGUACAUGCUUCAUUUAGCUUAUAUAACU